rnacentral:rRNA from 1 species
AACGGCCGUACCAUGCUGAAUAUACCGGUUCUCGUUAGAUCACCGAAGUUAAGCAUCAUUGGGCGCGGUCAGUACUUGGGUGGGUGACCACCUGGGAACAACA